UCGUGGUGGUAGACAUGUUG
rnacentral:siRNA from 1 species